GGUUGGCCUGGGGCACCCCGGGUGGCCCGGACUCAGGGGGAAGUGGGUGAACGGCCAGCAGACGGGCGUUUGGAGGGAAAUCUAGCGCCUUCCUGUCGACCCCGCAAGUUCCACGUGUGGUGUGGGGCCUGGGAGCGGGUCUGUGAGUGAGGAAGAGCGGGAUUCACCGGCAGGCUGGCCAGGGGAGGUGGGCGGAGCUUACCUGGGCAGAUGCCCCUCCCCCGGUUUCCACGUCCCAUGCACCUCUGGGUCUCCAGGCAGAACCCCGUGUCCAGAGAGUGGCCGGGACCCAGGAGCUCGUCCACACUCCAACAGGGGUGGACCUGCAGCCCCACGCUCCCCCCCACACUGUGGCCUGAGUCAGGGCAGGACCACGGCCGGCUGCUGGGUGCCGCGCCCCGAGAGGCCGCGCCCUGUCCUGGGAGACGCAGGGGCAGCCCUGCCGCCGGGGAGGGGCCUGGACCACGUGCAACUACAGCCUUAGAUUUGCUGCCACUUCGUACCAGCAACUGCACUGUGAGGGGUGGGCCCCGAAGACCCUGUGACACAGCCCUG